rfam:Gossypium arboreum cultivar AKA8401 contig_27071_1, whole genome shotgun sequence.
UAUUAAAAAUUUUAUCUAUUUGUAUUGUUAAAAACAUGCAUGGUUGACAAAAUAACCAAACAGUGAUGUGAUAUGUCAUGUGUACCUCAUGUUGGCGUACAAUGACCAAUUUUUAACAACAGAAAUAGAUCAAAUUUUUAACA